rnacentral:rRNA from 1 species
GAUGAACGCUGGCGGCGUGCCUAACACAUGCAAGUCGAGCGGCAGCGAGGGGUGCUUGCACCCUGUCGGCGAGCGGCGGACGGCUGAGUAACGCGUGGGAACGUGCCCUAAAGUGAGGAAUAACUGCCCGAAAGGGUAGCUAAUACCGCAUAUUAUCUUCGGAUCAAAGGAUUUAUCCGCUUUGGGAGCGGCUCGCGUCGGAUUAGGUAGUUGGUGAGGUAAUGGCUCACCAAGCCGACGAUCCGUAGCUGGUCUGAGAGGAUGACCAGCCAGACUGGAACUGAGACACGGUCCAGACUCCUACGGGAGGGAGCAGUGAGGAAUCUUCCACAAUGGGCGAAAGCCUGAUGGAGCAACGCCGCGUGCAGGACGAAGGCCUUCGGGUUGUAAACUGCUUUUAUAAGUGAGGAAUAUGACGGUAACUUAUAAAUAAGGAUCGGCUAACUACGUG